UACGUAGGGGGCAAGCGUUGUCCGGAUUUAUUGGGCGUAAAGAGCGUGUAGGCGGCCAUACAGGUCAGCUGUGAAAACUCGAGGCUCAACCUCGAGACGUCGGUUGAAACCGUAUGGCUAGAGUCCGGAAGAGGAGAGUGGAAUUCCCGGUGUAGCGGUGAAAUGCGCAGAUAUCGGGAAGAACACCCGUGGCGAAGGCGGGUCUCUGGGCCGAUACUGACGCUGAGGAGCGAAAGCGUGGGGAGCGAACAGG
rnacentral:rRNA from 1 species